rnacentral:rRNA from 1 species
UACAGAGGUCUCAAGCGUUGUUCGGAUUCAUUGGGCGUAAAGGGUGCGUAGGUGGCGCGCUAAGUCAGGCGUGAAAUCUCGGGGCUUAACUCCGAAACUGCAUUUGAUACUGGCGUGCUUGAGGACUGGAGAGGAGACUGGAAUUUACGGUGUAGCAGUGAAAUGCGUAGAGAUCGUAAGGAAGACCAGUGGCGAAGGCGGGUCUCUGGACAGUUCCUGACACUGAGGCACGAAGGCCAGGGGAGCAAACGGG